rnacentral:lncRNA from 1 species
UGUUGAUCAGAAUGCUUUGUAGGAGGUCAGCUGGGAGAGAUCACUGAAGAAGGACAUCAGGGACCAAGAUCUCGAUAAUGUCAUCAAAGUGAACUCAAGUUCUUUCACAAGUGACAAGGAAGGAAAAGACCUUGAGGAUUUUACUGAAAUAAAUACUGCUGGUCAGAAAAAUAAGAGGCAAGGCUGUCAUAACCUUUCUGUUAUAUACUUAUAAAAUGUUUCUGGUUGUUUAGAUAUUAGUCUUAAUAGGUUCUGUUCUGUAAAAAUCAUUAGAGGAGUCAAAAUUAAUAUUUUUAUUUGAUUUACUUAAGUUCCUCAUUAA